GGAGAGGUGCCAGAGCGGCCGAAUGGGCUCGGUUGGAAACCGAGUGUGCCCGCAAGGGUACCCCGGGUUCGAAUCCCGGCCUCUCCGCCA
rnacentral:tRNA from 1 species